rnacentral:rRNA from 1 species
AGACGGAGGGUGCAAGCGUUAAUCGGAAUUACUGGGCGUAAAGCGCUCGUAGGCGGCUUGUUAAGUCGGAUGUGAAAGCCCCGGGCUCAACCUGGGAACUGCAUUCGAUACUGGCAGGCUAGAGUAUAGUAGAGGCAAGUGGAAUUCCGGGUGUAGCGGUGAAAUGCGUAGAUAUCCGGAGGAACAUCAGUGGCGAAGGCGACUUACUGGACCAAUACUGACGCUGAGGUGCGAAAGCGUGGGGAGCAAACCGGAUUAGAAACCCUGGUAGUCC